rfam:Cavia porcellus supercont2_34 genomic scaffold, whole genome shotgun sequence.
GGGGAUUUAGCUCAGCGGCAUGAACGCCUGCCUUGCAAGCAGGCAGUCCUGAGUUCAAUCCCCG